rnacentral:rRNA from 1 species
AACGGCCAUACCAUGCUGAAUAUACCGGUUCUCGUUAGAUCACCGAAGUCAAGCAUCAUUGGGCGCGGUCAGUACUUGGGUGGGUGACCACAUGGAAACACCGCGUGCCGUU